rnacentral:rRNA from 1 species
CAGUCGCCGCGGUAAUACGUAGGUGGCAAGCGUUGUCCGGAAUUAUUGGGCGUAAAGGGCUCGCGGGCGGUUUCUUAAGUCUGAUGUGAAAGCCCCCGGCUCAACCGGGGAGGGUCAUUGGAAACUGGGAAACUUGAGUGCAGAAGAGGAGAGUGGAAUUCCACGUGUAGCGGUGAAAUGCGUAGAGAUGUGGAGGAACACCAGUGGCGAAGGCGACUCUCUGGUCUGUAACUGACGCUGAGGAGCGAAAGCGUGGGGAGCGAACAGGAUUAGAUACCCCGGUAGUCCCUGUCUCUUAUAC